UGUUCCUACGGGGGGCAGCAGUGGGGAAUAUUGGGCAAUGGGCGCAAGCCUGACCCAGCAACGCCGCGUGAAGGAAGAAGGCUUUCGGGUUGUAAACUUCUUUUCUCAGGGACGAAGCAAGUGACGGUACCUGAGGAAUAAGCCACGGCUAACUACGCGCCAGCAGCCGCGGUAAUACGUAGGUGGCAAGCGUUAUCCGGAUUUACUGGGCGUAAAGCGAGUGCAGGCGGUUCAAUAA
rnacentral:rRNA from 1 species